rnacentral:rRNA from 1 species
GACGAGCCACACAAACGUUAUUCGGAAUCACUGGGCUUAAAGGGUGCGUAGGCGGCGCGACAAGUUGGGUGUGAAAGCCCUCGGCUUAACCGAGGAAUUGCGCCCAAAACUGUCGUGCUCGAGUAAGAUAGAGGUGAGCGGAACUCAGGGUGGAGCGGUGAAAUGCGUUGAUAUCCUGAGGAACACCGGUGGCGAAAGCGGCUCACUGGGUCUUUUCUGACGCUGAUGCACGAAAGCUAGGGUAGCGAACGGG